rnacentral:rRNA from 1 species
ACGGGAGGCAGCAGUGGGGAAUAUUGGGCAGUGGGCGAAAGCCUGACCCAGCCACGCCGCGUGAAGGAAGAAGGUCCUCGGAUUGUAAACUUCUUUUAUCAGGGACGAAGAAAGUGACGGUACCUGAUGAAUAAGCCACGGCUAACUACGUGCCAGCAGCCGCGGUAAUACGUAGGUGGCAAGCGUUAUCCGGAUUUACUGGGUGUAAAGGGCGCGUAGGCGGGGAAGCAAGUCAGAUGUGAAAUCCAUGGGCUCAACUCAUGAACUGCAUUUGAAACUGUUUUUCUUGAGUGUCGGAGAGGUAGAUGGAAUUCCUAGUGUAGCGGUGAAAUGCGUAGAUAUUAGGAAGAACACCAGUGGCGAAGGCGAUCUACUGGACGAUAACUGACGCUGAGGCGCGAAAGCGUGGGGAGCAAACAGGAUUAGAUACCCUGGUA